AACUGAGACGAGGAGGCCAACAGCGACAGCAAACCUCACACACCGAGGACGAGAUCCCAUAAUGCAGGCGUUGUUGUGAAUGACUCCAGCAAUGGCCGCUGCGUAGGAGAAUGUUUCUCUAAAUAAACGGCUUCUUGAGAUGUUUACUUCCGUUUGCAGCAGAAAACAAUAAACGGAAGCGAAGAUCUGACGAGCAUCUCCACUGGAGGUCUCAGACGAACACAAAGAGCAUCAAACAAAGGCAUAAAUUAGCGAUUUAAAAUAAAAAGCUUCAACAAAAAGCUCCGCUAACCGAGUGAGGAGAUUUUCAAAAAGCAGCAGAGUGGAUGUAACAAACACAAGCCGACACGCUGUGACACUUGGAGUCCGCAGAGACCGCCGUUCACCCGCAGAGCCAGCGGUCCACCAUGGGGUGGUUGGCGCUGAGCGACGACCUGGCCGUGUCUCUCUGAAACUCUCUCUGAUUGGACCAGGUCCCUGCGUCCCUCGGCAGGCUGCGGCUGUUUGUGCCCGAGGAAUGGCGAGCCUUCAGGAAGCCGGCAGUGGUGGACCAGCGAGUCGGGUUCUUCCUGGAUGGAGGCUCUUCGGUUU